rnacentral:rRNA from 6 species
AACGACUCUCGGCAACGGAUAUCUCGGCUCUCGCAUCGAUGAAGAACGUAGCGAAAUGCGAUACUUGGUGUGAAUUGCAGAAUCCCGUGAACCAUCGAGUCUUUGAACGCAAGUUGCGCCCGAAGCCGUUAGGCUGAGGGCACGUCUGCCUGGGCGUCACGCA